rnacentral:rRNA from 1 species
GAUUUACUUCGGUAAUGACGUUGGGAAAGCGAGCGGCGGAUGGGUGAGUAACACGUGGGGAACCUGCCCCUAAGUCUGGGAUACCAUUUGGAAACAGGUGCUAAUACCGGAUAAUAAAGCAGAUCGCAUGAUCAGCUUUUGAAAGGCGGCGUAAGCUGUCGCUAAGGGAUGGCCCCGCGGUGCAUUAGCUAGUUGGUAAGGUAACGGCUUACCAAGGCGACGAUGCAUAGCCGAGUUGAGAGACUGAUCGGCCACAUUGGGACUGAGACACGGCCCAAACUCCUACGGGAGGCAGCAGUAGGGAAUCUUCCACAAUGGACGCAAGUCUGAUGGAGCAACGCCGCGUGAGUGAAGAAGGUUUUCGGAUCGUAAAGCUCUGUUGUUGGUGAAGAAGGAUAGAGGUAGUAACUGGCCUUUAUUUGACGGUAAUCAACCAGAAAGUCACGGCUAACUACGUGCCAGCAGCCGCGGUAAUACGUAGGUGGCAAGCGUUGUCCGGAUUUAUUGGGCGUAAAGCGAGCGCAGGCGGAAAAAUAAGUCUAAUGUGAAAGCCCUCGGCUUAACCGAGGAACUGCAUCGGAAACUGUUUUUCUUGAGUGCAGAAGAGGAGAGUGGAACUCCAUGUGUAGCGGUGGAAUGCGUAGAUAUAUGGAAGAACACCAGUGGCGAAGGCGGCUCUCUGGUCUGCAACUGACGCUGAGGCUCGAAAGCAUGGGUAGCGAACAGGAUUAGAUACCCUGGUAGUCCAUGCCGUAGACGAUGAGUGCUA